rnacentral:hammerhead_ribozyme from 1 species
ACUUAGCUGACGAGUCCCAAACAGGAUGAAAUGCGCGUCCUGGAU